UAAAAGGUGCAAAUGCUCAGAGUCAUGGAAUGAUCUUUCCAUGAGCAGUGUCAGGCAGGGACAUUCGCCCAGGAAACUCUCCAAAGCAGAGUCAGAGCUGUGCGGACUCAGGGACCUUGUCUGUUUCAUUCUCACAUUCUCUUUCCCUCUCCCUCCCUCUCUCCUGCCCUCCCUCUACACACACACACACACACACACACACACACACCACAGACACUCCUCCAACAGCUGCAAUCUGGAAGAAAUUACUCUUCUAAACAGCCAGACUUCCCCAGUUUCAGGAAAUUCCAAGCUGGGCAGGAGGAGGGGCUGGGCUGGGAGGGGGGCGCGCCCUGUCCAUCCCCCCACCCCUUCUGCGUGUCCUCUGUGCGCACCCGGUCCGGCCCAGGCCCGCCCCCACACUCAGCCCGGAGGCCUCUGCUUUUCCACCACCGCUUUCUAGUCCUUUAAAUCCUAGAGGCAAAACUUUUGGGGGAUAAGGAAGGCGGGGAGGGGCCUGGGCCUUAACCCUCUCUGCCCCAGAGGGACUGGGCUGGACUGGGCAGUGACUUCGCGGCCCGUUUGGGCUCCUACCAUGGCCCCCCGAGAGGGGCUGACACUUCGGUCCCCGGUGCAGGUGUGAUCCGCCCGGAGGAAAAAGGAAGAAGGCGCGGACUUGGGACUCGGAGGCAGAGGCGGGCUCCGAACCAAGGAGAGGGGCGUCCCAGUCGGAGCCCGAGAGCGCGCCUGCCCCACUCCGCGAGGGCCACGAGACAGAGACAGAGACAGCCUGAGUGGGAGAGAGGCAGAAAGAGAGGGAGACAGAGAAUCUGAAGCAGGCCCAGGCUCCGAACUGUCAGCUCAGAGCCCGACACAGGGCUUGAACCCACCAACCGCGAGAUCAUGACCCAAGCCGAAGUCGGACGCUCAACUGAUAGAGCCACCCAGGCACCCCAUUCGGUGUUCUUUUCACCUGCAGCUCACUCCACAGUAAUGAUGGGCACCUACUAGCUCUGGGAGCAGAUUCUUUUUAUUUUACACUGUGGAUUGAAAUUCAUUAAUGAGAAAAAGUCAGCGUUUAAAACAAAUAAAAUAGAUUAGGAUUGAAAACAUCUGAGUGCCUUAGCUUGUAAGUCUUGUUUCAUCCAAUGUUUGUUCCCUUUUAUUGGGGGAGUGGUGGGGAGGAAAGGCCAUUACGUGCCAGGUUAUAAUUAGAAUAUAUUUACUCAUCUAGGUGAGGUCAGAGGAGUUUGAGAAACACUACAGAGGUGAUAAAAUCAAGACUGGUUUUUCCAGGGAAAUAAACGUAAAGUGUGUGUGUGUGUGUGUGUGUGCGCACGUGCGUGUGUGUUGGGGUGGGGUAAAGGACAAUCCUCAGAACACAUCCAGCCAUGGUUAUUUUAAAUCCUUUUAGCUUUAAUUUUUCUCUGCAUUAUCAGUGAUGUUUCCCAGAGUGCUAGUUACUGACAGAAUAGUGCUGACUGCUUUACCUUCUUCAUAGGGUUUUAUCAAAUCUAAAUUGUGUUCUAGUUAUUUGGGGACACAUCCUCCUCCCGCCCCCUCCCCCCCAACAACUGGCACCACCAAUUGGCUGGCACUAUUACAAGUACAGUUUUCUUUAAUUGAGAUUUUUCUACAUGCCCUUCAAGGAAGGUGGUGUUAUUUUAUCCAUUUUUUUAAAUGUUUUUUAUUU